AAAGAAAAGAGUGGCGAACGGGUGAGUAACACGUGGGUAACCUGCCCAUCAGAAGGGGAUAACACUUGGAAACAGGUGCUAAUACCGUAUAACAAGUAAAACCGCAUGGUUUUACUUUGAAAGGCGCUUUUGCGUCACUGAUGGAUGGACCCGCGGUGCAUUAGCUAGUUGGUGAGGUAACGGCUCACCAAGGCAACGAUGCAUAGCCGACCUGAGAGGGUGAUCGGCCACAUUGGGACUGAGACACGGCCCAAACUCCUACGGGAGGCAGCAGUAGGGAAUCUUCGGCAAUGGACGAAAGUCUGACCGAGCAACGCCGCGUGAGUGAAGAAGGUUUUCGGAUCGUAAAACUCUGUUGUUAGAGAAGAACAAGGAUGAGAGUAAAAAGUUCAUCCCUUGACGGUAUCUAACCAGAAAGCCACGGCUAACUACGUGCCAGCAGCCGCGGUAAUACGUAGGUGGCAAGCGUUGUCCGGAUUUAUUGGGCGUAAAGCGAGCGCAGGCGGUUUCUUAAGUCUGAUGUGAAAGCCCCCGGCUCAACCGGGGAGGGUCAUUGGAAACUGGGAAACUUGAGUGCAGAAGAGGAGAGUGGAAUUCCAUGUGUAGCGGUGAAAUGCGUAGAUAUAUGGAGGAACACCAGUGGCGAAGGCGGCUCUCUGGUCUGUAACUGACGCUGAGGCUCGAAAGCGUGGGGAGCAAACAGGAUUAGAUACCCUGGUAGUCCACGCCGUAAACGAUGAGUGCUAAGUGUUGGAGGGUUUCCGCCCUUCAGUGCUGCAGCUAACGCAUUAAGCACUCCGCCUGGGGAGUACGACCGCAAGGUUGAAACUCAAAGGAAUUGACGGGGGCCCGCACAAGCGGUGGAGCAUGUGGUUUAAUUCGAAGCAACGCGAAGAACCUUACCAGGUCUUGACAUCCUUUGACCACUCUAGAGAUAGAGCUUCCCCUUCGGGGGCAAAGUGACAGGUGGUGCAUGGUUGUCGUCAGCUCGUGUCGUGAGAUGUUGGGUUAAGUCCCGCAACGAGCGCAACCCUUAUUGUUAGUUGCCAUCAUUUAGUUGGGCACUCUAGCGAGACUGCCGGUGACAAACCGGAGGAAGGUGGGGAUGACGUCAAAUCAUCAUGCCCCUUAUGACCUGGGCUACACACGUGCUACAAUGGGAAGUACAACGAGUCGCGAAGUCGCGAGGCUAAGCUAAUCUCUUAAAGCUUCUCUCAGUUCGGAUUGUAGGCUGCAACUCGCCUACAUGAAGCCGGAAUCGCUAGUAAUCGCGGAUCAG
rnacentral:rRNA from 1 species